GGUGAAGUAACACGUGAGUAACCUGCCCUUAACUCUGGGAUAAGCCUGGGAAACUGGGUCUAAUACCGGAUAUGACUGANUAUCGCAUGGUGGUUGGUGGAAAGCUUUUUGUGGUUUUGGAUGGACUCGCGGCCUAUCAGCUUGUUGGUGAGGUAAUGGCUUACCAAGGCGACGACGGGUAGCCGGCCUGAGAGGGUGACCGGCCACACUGGGACUGAGACACGGCCCAGACUCCUACGGGAGGCAGCAGUGGGGAAUAUUGCACAAUGGGCGCAAGCCUGAUGCAGCGACGCCGCGUGAGGGAUGACGGCCUUCGGGUUGUAAACCUCUUUCAGUAGGGAAGAAGCGAAAGUGACGGUACCUGCAGAAGAAGCGCCGGCUAACUACGUGCCAGCAGCCGCGGUAAUACGUAGGGCGCAAGCGUUAUCCGGAAUUAUUGGGCGUAAAGAGCUCGUAGGCGGUUUGUCGCGUCUGCCGUGAAAGUCCGGGGCUCAACUCCGGAUCUGCGGUGGGUACGGGCAGACUAGAGUGAUGUAGGGGAGACUGGAAUUCCUGGUGUAGCGGUGAAAUGCGCAGAUAUCAGGAGGAACACCGAUGGCGAAGGCAGGUCUCUGGGCAUUAACUGACGCUGAGGAGCGAAAGCAUGGGGAGCGAACAGGAUUAGAUACCCUGGUAGUCCAUGCCGUAAACGUUGGGCACUA
rnacentral:rRNA from 1 species